GCAAUAUUGAUUUUCAAAAAAAGUUUUUAUUUACAUGUGCUUACAGUAUGCAAAAUAUGUGAAAUAAAGAUUCUCAUUCAUUCAAGGUGGAGGCAAAGAGAAAACUGUCCUCCCACCGCCAGAGCGUGGCUGCAACUGGUGGGGGCCCAUGUACAGCUGAUCUCACAUCAGUGGACAGCAAAAUCGCGGCUAUAAUUGGGGAGGUCAGCGUGUGUGGUAUUGUGUCGGAAAAGGAGGGAGACACUGACGUGACUGAAACCACAGAGGAGCAAGUCCUUCCGGAGUCUGAAGCUGUAAAUGAACAGGAGGUUCAGGGUGAGGGGUUCUCAGAUGCAGAUGCACAGCGUCCGGCUCAAAGCAGUGCCCCUUCUGCGUCUGGCACGUCCAAAAGUGGUCGGGUACUCACUGACGCAGUCCUGCAGUUACAGCGAGAGACAAUAAACGCUGUCAACGGGGUUGCAGAUGAGCUACGGCAGAUGAGAGAAGUGAUGCAAGAAAUUGCACAAUCAUUAAAAAGAUGCAGUUAAAACAUGAACCUUGAGUUUUGUCUUUCUUUACAAACGCCGCAUGACAUCCUCACGGAUUCUUGCACCUCGUUGAUAUCCCUCUUGUCGGCCAGGGGGCUGUGGCUCGGGGUCGUAAUGCUGGGGUAGAGGGAGAUCAGGAGGGAGAGGAAUACCGUUUCUCAGUGCUAUAUUGUGCAAAACACCACACGCCCUGACAAUCUUGCACACUUUUUGCUGGAUGGUAUAAAAGUCUGCCACCCGAGGCAUCCAGAGCACGCCAUCUGCAUUUCAGGAUGCCGAUGGCACGCUCCACAACUGCGCGGGCACGAGAGUGGACCUCGUUAUAAUGAGUUUCCUCUGCGCUCUGCGGGUUUAAAAAAAUGGGGUGAGGAGCCAGCGUCUCAGGGGGUAGCCACUGUCGCCUGCAGGUUAUAAUUAUAUUAAAAAAAACAAGUGUUACGGUUUCUACUUUUUAAUAUUGUUAAACUCACCAAGAAGCCAGCCAUCACGUACUGCGCCUGCAUUUAGUCUGUUCCCUACACUGCUAUGUGUCAAGAUAAAGGAAUCAUGUGUUGAACCAGGCCAGCGUGCCACAAUGUUUGUGAGGGUCAUGUUGGAGUCACAUAUGAUUUGCACAUUAAUAGAAUGCACAUGCUUUCUAUUAACAUAAGCAAAUUCAUUUUCAGAUGGUGCCCUUAUAGCAACAUGAGUGCAGUCAAUUGCGCCGAUUACAUUUGGGAAACCAGACAUUGCUGCAAAUUGCGUUUUAAUUUCGGCCUGUUCUCGCACAGUGUAGGGGAACCUGAUGUAUCGACUAACCAUAUUAAGUAUACCAUUUAAAACGACAGAUAUUAUGGCACUCAGGGACGGCUGUGAUAUACCAGACCUAUAGGGUGAGAUGAUAGAUUCCAAUAGAAUUAUUUCAUAUACAAAAAAAGGUCUUAGAGACAAAUUUGAGGAUUACUUAUAGUUUUUUUAUAUUAUUAAUUUACCUGUCUGCCAAUUCCCGCUGGAAACAGCCGGUUGCCAAGAACCCCAGAGUGGUGAGGACUUGUAUUUGGACUGGGAUGGCAUGGUUCCGGCGUGUUGCCCUCUCUAAUACUGGACCCAAUUCAGCACAUAGAUCCAAGAGCACAGCUCUAGGGAAUCUAAAUCGGCUUAUUAGCCAGUCAUCAUCAUGGGCCAGGAAAUCAUCAUGGUCCCUGAAAACUCGUUCUCUCCUUAUUCUGCCAUUAGCGUAAUCCUCCAACAGUGCCAGGAGUGCCAUCAUGAAGCAUUACAUACCCGGGUCACCGGAGAAUUUAUAUGUUUCUAGCAAAUAGACUGAUCGUUAACACCUUGACAAAAUCACUUAAUUAAUUUGUGGGCGAAAAUUUAAGACGAAAAUGUUAUAGUGAACACAUGCUUCUUGACGGUUUUGUAAUGAACACCGUAAUAGUUAGGACCGAUGAUGAGUAGCGAUUGUGCUUCAUGACUGUAUUUGCAGACUUUGACAUUUUAUGAUAUAGGCUAUGUACAUUAAGGAAAAUAUUUCCUUUUUACACUGUGUUCUGCAGUUCUCUAAUAAAAGGGUAUUUCAUGCUAUUCUGUAGGCUAUCACAUGUAUCGCGCCAUGUCCUCCUGUGCUCCCGUUGUGGACAAUGUGACUGUAAGGCAGCGCUGAUUAUUAUUUUUAUUUUUACUUUUUAAUACAUUUUUGAAUUACGUUUGGAUUUUUACUAGAUGUAUAUAGCCUAAAACAAUCGGCACAAAUAACACUGUUGGAUUUAAUCUUCAUGAUAAUGUGGAUAUAACGUAUGAAAUGGAGUGAAAAUUAAAUGUCAUUCAUUCUUAUAAUCGUUCUUCUCACAUUUAUUUUCUACAAUCUAACUUCAGUUCACGACCUCACCAUCGGUGUCGCCAAUUCCCUUUGUCUCCAGAAUGUGCGUACGCACGGCUCAAAGUUUGCUUAAAGGUGCGCACAUUCUCCCGUCAAGUUUGUUUUUUAUAGAUCACAACCUUUGCGUGGGAACUGGCGUACGUACGUUUCCAGCCCCGUUUUGUGCGUACGCACGCUUUAUAAAUGAGGCCCCUGGUGUUUUUGGGAGUUGCUCAUGUCAAUCUGACACAUCAUAUUUAAUUUAAUUAGACCGGUUUUUACAGCAGCGUCUGCUUAUUUACAUUGUGUUUCGUGUCUUGACGAAACUUGACUUCUUGUUAAUGACAUUUAAAUGAACAGUUCAUUCUCUGAGGACAGAUUUUAAAGCUAGCACAGAGACAGAUUUUGGUCUUUUUUUCUUACUCUGUGAUUGACAGGUGGAAUAAUAAGCCAGUGAAAUGCCUCUGGGUUCAUUCCACAGUGUCAGGAGUAUUUUGUACCUCAACCUUCCUAAAAAACCCUGUAAGAUCAUAUCAUAAAAAUAAAUGAUCACUUAAAGUGGGAGUAAACUGUAUGGUUGUUGAAAUCUUUUUCAUUAUAUAUUAUGUAAGAUUCUUCAUCUUUGGCAGCAGGGAGCUGAACAGCAUUAACUUCUAUUUAGAACAGAAAUAAAUUCCAUAAUGUAGCAUUUUCCUACACAAUAUAGCAGAUGUCUACACUUGUGGGUUUAAUGAUUAUAUAUAAUUAAUUAUUAAUUAUUAUUAUUUAUGUAUUGUUUAAAAAUAAGCUUAUUGUAUUAUUUAAUGUUAAAGUUUGCGUAUUAUAAAUAAUAUUUUAGAUGUUUUAAGAUAGAUAGAUAGAUAGAUAGAUAGAUAGAUAGAUUUUUUGUUUUAUUAAUUGGAUUUCCUCUUUUUUAUAUUUAUAAUUUAUUUUCAAGUAAUAAUUUAUGUGAUUAUGUGAUUUAUGGCCUAUAAAUAUAUAUAUGAUAUUUUUGUCUUUUA
ensembl:lncRNA